rnacentral:rRNA from 1 species
UACGUAGGUGGCAAGCGUUGUCCGGAUUUAUUGGGCGUAAAGCGAGCGCAGGCGGUUUCUUAAGUCUGAUGUGAAAGCCCCCGGCUCAACCGGGGAAGGUCAUUGGAAACUGGGGAACUUGAGUGGAGAAGAGGAGAGUGGAAUGCCAUGUGUAGCGGUGAAAUGCGUAGAUAUAUGGAGGAACACCAGUGGCGAAGGCGACUCUCUGGACUGUAACUGACGCUGAGGCUCGAAAGCGUGGGUAGCAAACAGG